rnacentral:rRNA from 1 species
GCAUAUCAAUAAGCGGAGGAAAAGAAACUAACAAGGAUUCCCUUAGUAACGGCGAGUGAAGAGGGAAGAGCUCAAAUUUUAAAUCUAUCAUGUUUGUACAUGAUCGAGUUGUAAUUUGAAGAAGCGUUUUCUCGUACUUUAUGCAAUCAGUAUAAGUUCUCUUGGAACAGGACAUCAUAGAGGGUGAUAAUCCCGUCUGUUACUGGUUGUGAGGUUCGUUAUGAUACGCUUUCAAAGAGUCGAGUUGUUUGGGAUUGCAGCUCCAAAUGGGUGGUAAACAUCACCUAAGGCUAAAUAUUUGCGAGAGACCGAUAGCGAACAAGUACCGUGAGGGAAAGAUGAAAAGAACUUUGAAAAGAGAGUUAAAAAGUAUGUGAAAUUGUUGAAAGGGAAACGAUUGAAGUCAGUCGUGCAGUCAUCAAUUCAGCGGUUAACAUUUUUAUGUUUCCGUGUAAUUUGGUGUCUGUUGGUUAGCAUCAAUUUUGAUUGUCAUAAAAAGGUUAAGGGGAUGUGGCUCCUUCGGGAGUGUUAUAACCCUUAGCGUAAUGUGACGAUUAGGAUUGAGGUUUGCAACGAAUACCUUUUAGGGCAGUUUCACCUGGCCUCUCGUGGAAUUAUAGAUAGUUAAGAGCAUGCUCUUACUGUCUAUGAUUCUACGAAAAGGUUGGAGUGUAAAACUAAUUCGUUAAGGAUGUUGACGUA